UACAGAGGGGGCAAGCGUUGUUCGGAAUUACUGGGCGUAAAGGGCGCGUAGGCGGUUCGUACAGUCAGACGUGAAAUCCCCGGGCUCAACCUGGGAACUGCAUUUGUGACUGCACGGCUGGAGUGCGGCAGAGGGGGGAUGGAAUUCCGCGUGUAGCAGUGAAAUGCGUAGAUAUGCGGAGGAACACCGAUGGCGAAGGCAAUCCCCUGGGCCUGCACUGACGCUCAUGCACGAAAGCGUGGGAGCAAACAGG
rnacentral:rRNA from 1 species